GCAUCGGCGUAUAUCUUCCUCUCAAAACCCUACAACCGUAAAACUAAAACAAGUGAGAAAUCAAUAGCCACUCCAUCUGAUCUAAUCCAUUUAUUGACUGAAGAAUACGGAGAGUGGGGAGCAGACACCAGUUUUGGAGGUCAUUCAAUCGUUCAAAUCAAUAAGCAUAAUCUGAACUUGGUCAUUUGUUUGGCCAAUGAUGGAGCGGUGAGGGUUUAAUCGGAGCAUCAAAGUCCAUCGGGUCAAGGGUUUCUACCAUGAUAUGACGAAAGGUCAGUGAUGUUGUUUGGGGCGAUAGCAGUGGUAGGUGGUGGAAAAAUCGAAGCCUCAACAGUGGCGGCUUUAGGGUUCCUUCAUGAGUCAGUCUGGAGCGGUUAGGAUUCCGGCAGAGGAAUCCUCAGAUGGUGAAGUUGAGGUUUGGUAGUGACUAUGGUGGUGAUUACAGGUAGUCAGGAAUGUAAGAAAAGUUGUUCUGUUGUUAAAACUGCUAAAAUUGCUUGAUUCUCUUAUUGAUUUUGGAUUACGAACUUAUUUUUUUUAUCUAAUGAGGCCUUUGAAUUGAUAUCAUAGUUCUAUUAAUAUGAUAUAUUUGCUUUAUAUUUAUGUGAUGAUUUGUGCAGGACUUUUUUUGUUACGAUGACAACGAUUCAAUGGCGGUUGAAGAAGAUUCGACGGUGGUGUCAAGGUUGUGGUCGUUUUAGAAUAGGGGAAUUGGAUAUCGUUUUAUGCGUGUGUAAAUAUUCGUUUUUUAUUCAAAUAAGUUAUAUUAUCAUCAUAAGAUUAUUGUUUUCAUGAUAUUGUUUUUAUGAAUGAUCAAGAAGGUGAAACGUUGCAUUCAUGAUCCCGGCAGGCUGAGAUAGAGGGUUGCAGGUCACCAUUGCAGCAGGAACCGCCAUUUGCAGUCACACCACUGAUAUUGGUUUUAGAAGAUGCUUUCUUACGGUUAAAAGAAAGUGGAACUGGUCCAAACUUGGAAGGUUUGUUAAUCUCUUUCGAAGAAUUCAAACUGAGAUCCGGUUUGUGGGCAUAUAUGACAAGUUCAUGAACGCCUUCUUAAAUGACGUUAAAAGGCUUAAAUUCGGCAAUGGUUUUAGUGAAGGUGUGGCCCAGGGACCAUUUAUCGAUGAAGCUGCUAUAUAGAAGGAUGUGCGUUGUGGCACCAGUUAGCGCCGGGUGAGCCACGUAGGCGGCCAGGUGGCUCACGAGCACAACAACGGGGUGCCACAAGCGGUCACAUGUGAGCGCUGGGGUGAGCAUGGUCGCCGGGUGAGCCACGUAGUCGGUCAGGUGGCUCGCGAGACACACCAGUUAGUGCCGGGUGAACCACGUAGGCGGCCAGGGGGCUCGCGAUGAUUCGUGAAGCUUUCUUAUCAUUUUUGAAGCUCUCCUAACGUUUUAACAAUAAAUGGCGAUUUGUGCGUAAACUUCAACAAAGCACCGACUUAGUGUUUGGGUUUGUAUCUCUGGUAACCCGAAUUUAGAGUUGCAUUAUGCAGUCAUUGUUUUUAUUCCUCUAAUUUUGACUUGAUUGUUCCAAUAGCGCUAGAGGAAGGUGCAGACAAAUCAUACUCGAGAGGACUUUCUAUAGCAACUUGUUGCCACCAUCUCUGCCAAUGGAAGCAUUAUAUCAGUAAAACCCAUAUCCCGACCUUUAGUUACUUUAAGUUUGUUAUAUGUCUCAUGAAAGUAACCCUAAAUGCUUGCUGGCGUGCAGAUAAAGAUUUUUUUCUUAAAUUUAGGGAUUACGAAAGACGAUUUCCAUGCAAUUACAUGGUUUACCAGCUGGGCCGUAGAUGUAGACCAUAGCUCAGACGUUGCUAAUACAAACACGUUAUUAAUUGCCCUUUUAAGAUAUUAUGAAGUGACCGGCCUGUUACUUUAUUUGAAGUGAUGAAUGUAUUCUGUUUGUGUUUGGCAGGGAAAAUGUUAAGAAUAUCUGUGGAGAUAGAAAUAUGUCUGUUGCAGAGAGCGCUGCGCUAGGGUUUAUGUGCAAAGAUAUUAUUGAUGCAGGGAGGUUUAUGUGGCUGAGGGAAUAUGGACUAGAAUCCAAGUUGUCAAAUAUGUUCCAUCUAACAUCUCGCCUGAAAACCAUUUGCUCAUCGCAAAGCGUUGAGGAUCUUGAUUUGGAAUUUAGAAUUGGGAACAUAGAUAGGAAAACACCAUGUAAGAGUUGACUAUGUAUUUCAUUUUGAUACUAAUUAAGAUGAAACUUUAGUUU